GUUCUGCAUCCCUCAAAGGGGGAGGAGUAGCCCCCCUACGGUGACCGCCCUAGUAACGGCGAGUGAAGCGGCAACAGCUCAAAUUUGAAAUCUGGCUCUCGGGCCCGAGUUGUAAUUUGUAGAGGAUGCUUUUGAUGCGGUGCCUUCCGAGUUCCCUGGAACGGGACGCCAUAGAGGGUGAGAGCCCCGUCUGGUUGGAUGCCAAAUCUCUGUAAAGCUCCUUCGACGAGUCGAGUAGUUUGGGAAUGCUGCUCUAAAUGGGAGGUAUAUGUCUUCUAAAGCUAAAUACCGGCCAGAGACCGAUAGCGCACAAGUAGAGUGAUCGAAAGAUGAAAAGCACUUUGAAAAGAGAGUUAAAAAGUACGUGAAAUUGUUGAAAGGGAAGCGUUUAUGACCAGACUUGGGCUUGGUUAAUCAUCUGGGGUUCUCCCCAGUGCACUUUUCCAGUCCAGGCCAGCAUCAGUUUUCGCCGGGGGAUCACGGCUUCGAAAGCGUCCUCUACAAAUUACAACUCGGGCCCGAGAGCCUGAUUUCAAAUGGAGCUGAGCCGGUCACUCGCCGGACUAGGGCAAUACGU
rnacentral:rRNA from 1 species